rnacentral:tRNA from 1 species
GCCUUCGUGGUGUAGUGGUCAUCACGCUCGACGCGUAACCGAGACGUCCGUGGUUCAAUUCCCCGCAAAAGCG